GACGAACCGUGCAAACGUUGUUCGGAUUCACUGGGCUUAAAGGGCGCGUAGGCGGGUGGUCAAGUCAGGGGUGAAAUCUUUCAGCUCAACUGGAAAACAGCUUCUGAUACUGGCCAUCUUGAGGGAGGUAGGGGCAUGUGGAACUUCCGGUGGAGCGGUGAAAUGCGUAGAUAUCGGAAGGAACGCCGGUGGCGAAAGCGACGUGCUGGACCUUUUCUGACGCUGAGGCGCGAAAGCCAGGGGAGCAAACGGGG
rnacentral:rRNA from 1 species